AUGAAACAGUGUCUAAAAUUGUUCAAAUUCAUCUCAUUUUUCCCUCCCAAUUCAACCCCUCAUGCUUCAAUAAAACCAGAAGACAGUAGAAAGAAAAAAGGAGGAGACGGUGAUACCAAUACACUUAUAGAAAAGCUACACAAAGAAUUCACUCCAAAAACCUCUCUUUCAUAUUUUUCUCUUUUCAAAAUAUCAAUAUCUUUUCUCAUUUUUUCUAGCUGUUAA